rnacentral:lncRNA from 1 species
CCGCGCAGCUUUUAUUUCCCCGAUGCCGGGCUGUAACCCGAGCUUUUAUUUCCUGGUGGCUCCUUUAAGAGGCAGAGCUCAGUGCUGGGAAUUCACGUCAGUUUCUGCACUGAAACUCUCAAGAUCAAUGAGCAAAGAGCUUUCUCAGUUCUGCCUUUCAGUUUCUCUCUUCCAGGAAGGAAAACAUUCGAGAGAGCGAGGGAGAGCCGCG